rnacentral:rRNA from 1 species
CCCCUAGAUGUUCUGGGCCGCACGCGCGCUACACUGAACAGUUCAACAAGUCUUAACCUUGGCCGAUAGGUCUGGGUAAUCUUUGAACGCUGUUCGUGAUUGGGAUAGACCUUUGCAAUUAUGGGUCUUCAACAAGGAAUUCCUAGUAAACGCAAGUCAUCAGCUUGCAUUGAUUACGUCCCUGCCCUUUGUACACACCGCCCGUCGCACCUACCGAUUGAAUGGUCCGGUGAAAUCUCGGGACGGCGGCUUGGUCGCUUGCGUCCGACUGCUGAAACUUGAUUAAACCAUAUCAUUUAGAGGAAGGUGAAGUCGUAACA